rnacentral:misc_RNA from 1 species
AAUUCUCAAUCUUUUUGGUUUCUUAUUGGAAUCAGUCAGAUUGGAUAGUUGGAGGUGUUUGCAGGCUUCAUUGUCUGCUCCUCUUAAAUUCAUUAGCGGAACCUAGCAUUGUCCCAUUUCUGAUGUGAUAAUUAUCUACAUUAUUAAUGCGGUACAUAACUAAUAUAGUGUUCAGCUUCUAAUCGUCCAUUCAUUUGGACAGCUCUUGACA